UUUUUCUUCAAUUCUUCAUACGUUCAUAUCCUGCUAACACUCUCUGGCUUUGGUUUUCUAAGGAAAGACUGAAAGGAAAAGGAACUACAGACUCCCUUAUCUUCCCCUUCCCUUCUAUGUCGUUGUUUAUAGUGUGAGCGGUUGGCUAAUGGCGUAUCUUGCUUUACUGCACUUCACAGAUAAUGGAUUUUUUUAAUAAACUGAAGGUUUGUGGUAACGCUGUUUGGAGCAAGCCAACAGCACCAUUUUUCCAACAGCAUGUGCUCCCUUCCUGCCGCCGUGUUACAUUUUGCAUGUUUUUCAUCUGGAGGACCGUGUGGUUUAGGGAAAAGUGAUACUAGCCCUGGCUCCCAAGGGUGAACACAGGACUUUGGCUAAGUCAAUAGGUGCAUCCAUGGCCCUGGCCUUGGCGACUGGCUCCAGCGUGGACUCCAGCAGUCCAUUAAGAGGGAAACUUGCAGCUUUGCCUAGAAUGCUGGGACAAACCUGAUCUCACUUUGGACAACGUAGGUAUAGGUGUGAGACCAGGAACUGCUGUGUCCAUUACACCUCCAGGACAGAAACCAGGCCAAAGCAGCAGCCAAUGCUUGGAAUACGGUAGAGCAAAUGAAUGAAGUCCAGGAGUUCUGAUUGUAUCAUAAAUGUUUAGAAAAUCCAGACCUGAGGCUUCCGUGGUUUGUAAAGUCAGUACUUAGAGGAACCAAUAAAAUUAUUUUCUUGUUUCCA